rnacentral:rRNA from 1 species
UACGAAGGGGGCUAGCGUUGCUCGGAAUCACUGGGCGUAAAGCGCACGUAGGCGGCUUCUUAAGUCAGGGGUGAAAUCCUGGAGCUCAACUCCAGAACUGCCUUUGAUACUGAGGAGCUUGAGUCCGGGAGAGGUGAGUGGAACUGCGAGUGUAGAGGUGAAAUUCGUAGAUAUUCGCAAGAACACCAGUGGCGAAGGCGGCUCACUGGCCCGGUACUGACGCUGAGGUGCGAAAGCGUGGGGAGCAAACGG